GUGUUUAUAUUAUGAACCCACCCUGUUCGGACUGCUAAGGUACUGACCCAUAGGUGUGGAUGCUGCCAUAGUGACCAGGGAAAACGGAAAAUUUUAUCAUACUUACCAUAAUUUUUGUUUCCUGGUUACUAUGGGCAGCAUUCACACCAAAUCCUCCCACUAUAAUCUCGGACAUCAAAAGACAGUGAGCUGAGGGGAGAAGGGGGUCAUAUAGAGUAGUUAAUUAAUCUAAUUAACUUCUGUCUUAUAACAAAGUGAGGGCGGGGAUAAACCCAUAGGUGUGAAUGCUGCCCAUAGUAACCAGGAAACGAAAAUUAUGGUAAGUAUGAUAAAAUUUUCCGUUAUCCUUCCUAAUGUGUGCAAAUAGGGUUUCCAUAACAAGAGUGAAGAGGAUUGGUGAUAUCGGGCACCCCUGUCUUGUUCCGUUAAAUAUUUGUAUUUUAGACGAUAAUAUCGAAUUAAUUUUAAUUCUGGCAGUUGGGGUAUUGUAUAACACAAAUAUUCUGUGUAUAAUAGCUGGGCCAAAUCCAAAACCAACUAAAGUUUCCCUCAAAGAUCUCCAUGACACCCUAUCAAAAGCUUUUCGGAGUAAAUCCCUUUUGGUCAGUAUGUAUUAAUUCCGGUUGCUGCCCAUGGUUUUCAAAUUCCCUCUAAGAACACAUUUCAGCAUUUCCCACAGUGUCCCUGCAGAUAUAUCUGGUGUGUUGUUGUUAUGCAAUAUGCUUUCUAACCAUCCCUGUAUCUGCUUUUUGUUUGUUUCCUUAAGAAGCAUAAAUUCGUUAAUUUGCAAUGUAAAUUUUGCUUGUAGUGUUUUAGGGAUUAAUAAUUCUGCUGACACUGGUGAGUCAUCAGACAAAAUUGCGUUCCUAAUCUCUCCCUUUGUGAAUAAACGCAGCCAAUGUUGUGAAGCGAAUAUAUAAUCAAUUCUGGAGUAAACUGAAUGGACUCUAGAGAAGUAUGUGUAGUCUUUUUUUUCUGGAUUGAGUGCCUUCCAUAUGUCAAUUAACUGUAAAUCUGUUAACAUUUUUUUAAUUGUUAGCCAUAUAUACAUAUUUCAAACAUUUGUGCUUUCUUUGUAUGCCCAAUAGGUAGGGGAGUGUGGGUUAAGGGAAACAAGAGAGCUAGGAAAAGAGAAAAAGAAAAAAAAAGCCGGAGGGGGGUGAAUAAAAUGAAAUAAGUAAAGUAAAAAAAAAGAAGAUAAGAAAAAAAAAGAUAUUCAUUGACAGUUAGAUCCAAUAUAUCUUAUAGGGGGGCUUUUUUUUUGAGCAAAUGAAUUAGAGUGAAUGAAUUAGAGCUAAAUAACUGAUUCUAGUACAAACAAAAUCUAACAAAAUAACUGCCUUUUGCACAAAUCCUGCAUGUAGAU